CCUACGGGCGGCAGCAGUAGGGAAUAUUGCUCAAUGGGGGAAACCCUGAAGCAGCAACGCCGCGUGGAGGGAGGAAGGUACAGAGUAUCGUAAACCUCUUUUGUCAGGGAACAAAGACUGGGACGCGUCCCCGGAUGAGUGUACCUGAAGAAAAAGCAUCGGCUAACUCCGUGCCAGCAGCCGCGGUUAAACGGGGGAUGCGAGCGUUAUCCGGAUUGAUUGGGUUUAAAGGGUGCGCAGGCGGUCUGUAAAGUCAGCGUUAAAAGCCCGGGGCUCACCCCGGGGCCGCCGUUGAAACUGGCAGUCUCGAGUUGGAGAGAAGUAUGCGGAAUGCGCGGUGUAGCGGUGAAAUGCAUAGAUAUCGCGCAGAACUCCGAUUGCGAAGGCAGCAUGCCGGCUCCACACUGACGCUGAGGCACGAAAGCGUGGGUAUCGAACAGGAUUAGAUACCCUAGUAGUC
rnacentral:rRNA from 1 species